rnacentral:rRNA from 1 species
UGCGGAGGGAGCUAGCGUUGUUCGGAAUUACUGGGCGUAAAGCGCACGUAGGCGGCUUUGUAAGUUAGAGGUGAAAGCCCGGGGCUCAACCUCGGAACUGCCUUUGAUACAGCAUAUCUUGAGUCCGAUAGAGGUGGGUGGAAUUCCUAGUGUAGAGGUGAAAUUCGUAGAUAUUAGGAAGAACACCGGUGGCGAAGGCGGCCCACUGGAUCGGUACUGACGCUGAGGUG